rnacentral:rRNA from 1 species
GCAAGUCGAGGGGCAGCAGGUUCGAGUUUACUUGGAUGCUGGCGACCGGCGCACGGGUGCGUAACGCGUAUGCAACCUACCCACUACAGGGGGAUAGCCAUUGGAAACAGUGAUUAAUACCCCAUAAUGCAUUAAUCUCACCUGGGAUUAUUUGCUAAAGAUUUAUCGGUAGUGGAUGGGCAUGCGUAAGAUUAGCUAGUUGGUAGUGUAAUAGACUACCAAGGCGACGAUCCCUAGCUGGUCUGAGAGGAUGAUC